rnacentral:rRNA from 1 species
CGCGGCCUAUCAGCUUGUUGGUGGGGUGAUGGCCUACCAAGGCGACGACGGGUAGCCGGCCUGAGAGGGUGUCCGGCCACACUGGGACUGAGACACGGCCCAGACUCCUACGGGAGGCAGCAAUGGGGAAUAUUGCACAAUGGGCGGAAGCCUGAUGCAGCGACGCCGCGUGAGGGAUGACGGCCUUCGGGUUGUAGACCUCUUUCACCAAGGACGAAGCGGGAGUGACGGUACUUGGGGAAGAAGCACCGGCUAACUACGUGCCAGCAGCCGCGGUAAUACGUAGGGUGCGAGCGUUGUCCGGAAUUAUUGGGCGUAAAGAGCUCGUAGGCGGCCCGUUGCGUCUACCGUGAAAACUGGAGGCUUAACCUUCAGCUUGCGGUGGAUACGGGCGGGCUUGAGUUCGGUAGGGGAGACAGGAAUUCCUGGUGUAGCGGUGAAAUGCGCAGAUAUCAGGAGGAACACCGGUGGCGAAGGCAGGUCUCUGGGCCGAUACUGACGCUGAGGAGCGAAAGCGUGGGGAGCGAACAGGAUUAGAUACCCUCGUAGUCCGCGCUGUAAACGUUGGGCGCUAGGUGUGGGUGACAUCCACGUUGUCCGUGCCGUAGCUAACGCAUUAAGCGCCCCGCCUGGGGAGUACGG